UCAUUAGUUUUUUAAUUGAAAGCUUGUAUGAAUGGUUUGAUGAGAAGAUAACUUUCUAAAUUUUAUUAUUUAAAAAUUUUAUUUUUAAGUUAAAAAGCUUAAAUUUUUUUAAAAGACGAGAAGACCCUAUAGAGUUUAAUUUAUAAAAGAUUUUUAAUUUAAAGAAUUAUAAAAUUUAAAAUUUUUAUUAAAUUUGAUUGGGGUGAUAAAAAAAUUAGAUUAACUUUUUUAACUUUAACCAUUAAUUUAUGAAAAAUUGAUCCAUUUUUAUGAUUAAAAGAAUAAAUUACCUUAGGGAUAACAGCGUUAUUUUUUUUUAGAGUUCAAAUCGAAAGAAAAGAUUGCGACCUCGAUGUUGGAUUAAAGUUAAAUUUAGGUGUAGAAGCUUAAA
rnacentral:rRNA from 1 species